UACGUAGGUGGCAAGCGUUGUCCGGAUUUACUGGGCGUAAAGAGCGCGCAGGCGGUUGAUUAAGUCGAAUGUGAAAGCCCCCGGCUCAACUGGGGAGGGUCAUUCGAUACUGAUCGACUUGAAGGCAGGAGAGGGUAGUGGAAUUCCCGGUGUAGUGGUGAAAUGCGUAGAUAUCGGGAGGAACACCAGUGGCGAAGGCGGCUACCUGGACAAUUGCUGACGCUCGGGCACGAAAGCGUGGGGAGCAAAAGGG
rnacentral:rRNA from 1 species